rnacentral:rRNA from 1 species
CAGCCGCCGCGGUAAUACGAAGGGUGCAAGCGUUAAUCGGAAUUACUGGGCGUAAAGCGUGCGCAGGCGGUGUUGUAAGACUGAUGUGAAAUCCCCGGGCUCAACCUGGGAACUGCAUUGGUGACUGCAACGCUGGAGUGCGGCAGAGGGGGAUGGAAUUCCGCGUGUAGCAGUGAAAUGCAUAGAUAUGCGGAGGAACACCGAUGGCGAAGGCAAUCCCCUGGGCCUGCACUGACGCUCAUGCACGAAAGCGUGGGGAGCAAACAGGAUUAGAUACCCGCGUAGUCCCUGUCUCUUAUAC